rnacentral:rRNA from 1 species
AUACGGAGGAUCCGAGCGUUAUUCGGAUUUAUUGGGUUUAAAGGGAGCGUAGGCGGACGCUUAAGUCAGUUGUGAAAGUUUGCGGCUCAACCGUAAAAUUGCAGUUGAUACUGGGUGUCUUGAGUACAGUAGAGGCAGGCGGAAUUCGUGGUGUAGCGGUGGAAUGCUUAUAUAUCACGAAGAACUCCGAUUGCGAAGGCAGCCUGCUGGACUGUAACUGACGCUGAUGCUCGAAGGUGUGGGUAUCAAACAGGAUUAGAUACCCUGGUAGUCCACACAGUAAACGAUGAAUACUCGCUGUUUGCGAUAUACAGUAAGCGGCCAAGCGAAAGCGUUAAGUAUUCCACCUGGGGAGUACGCCGGCAACGGUGAAACUCAAAUGAAUUGACGGGG